AUGUAUUUCACCCUGCCAAAACCAGGCGUCCCCUCGGGCGUCCGCAGUUCCCGGGACAAGGAAAGUUGGAGGCCGCUCCCCGCGCCCUGCGGCCGCGGCGCACGGGACCGUGGCAGCCGCGCUCCGCGCUGCGGGAACCCCGCUGCCCACGCCGCGCCCGGGGCAACGCUGCCGCCCCGGGCUCGCACGCAUCUCCCUCCCGGGCCCGGCCCGGCCCCGCCGCCGACGGUGAUGCCCCGGCCGCCCGCCCGCCGAGCCCGGCCUCCCCUUCCUCCGCCGCGCUCUCCGGCCGCCCCAGGCCCCACCAGCGACCGUCAGAAUGGUGAGAUAACAACUGUCUCAAAGGCAGUGAGCCAACAUGUGCAGAAGAGCUCUGAGAUCAUCAGAUAGAAGGUGGCUCUCACAGGACAGCAAUGGGAUGUAUCAAUACUGAUGCUACAGUUUCUUUUUAAAUAAUAUCGAAGGCUAGAUUUUCAUCAGAAUUAUUGCAGUUUUAUUUUGCUGUUGGCACGACAAAGAUGUUCUUUUAUUGGUAUCUUGGGGAGGUUAAUUGCAUUGGAGUGUUUUGUUUUAAAGUUCAAACCUUCAGUGAAUGCAGGUGAGCUGCUCUUUUAUCAUAAGAUUUCAUCACACACCCUGUUCCUGGGGGCUGUUUCUGGCUGUUAACAGUCCUAUUGGUUCAAAUUUUAUUGCAGUAGGUUUUAUAUUCUCUGGUAUUGCCACCUCUCUUCAACUCUUGAACUCUUACAGACACCCACCCUAUGCAGGCUCUGAAUGUAGGUUUUAUUGAAUGGGUGAAAUAUUUACUGAGCUGUAAUAAGCCCCAUACAGUGCUCAGUAAAUGACACUUGUACAUUGUUUUGGAAAGUGCUCUGAGAUCCUGCAGGGUGAGCAGUUGAAAAUACUCCCUGCUACACAGAUGGUGUUGCAUAAUGGACCUCAGGUACUACAGAGUCAGUUUAGAAGUCAAAAGAAAAUAUAAGGCCACACUUCCCAAAAUGCUGCUGUGUGCACACCAAGGGAACACUCUGUGGCUACCAGCUUUCUAAAGGAAAAUGUCAGAAAUGUGGACACAGAACAAUAUAAGUAUAAUGCCAGUGUUCAUUUAAGUAUGAAUAGUGUCAAGCUCCAUGCAGCUUUUUUCACCUGGCACACUGUGUGCAUUUUUAAAUAAGGUUUCACAAAUUAGAUGACCAUGUAGCACAGAAGGCAGUUCAUUGCAGGAGGCUAACCAGCUUAAUUCCAGCUAAUGGUAUGCUUUUGGCAGUAAUUUCAUAAGGAACUGGUCCUUUUCCUUGACAUCAAGAGGAAGAUAUGGCCCAGAAUCCACACUGAAGGGUGUGAGUGACAAGUAGUUUAGAAAAGGUUUACAUCCUGUGCCAUAAUUUAGGGAAACUGGUAGAAAAUAUUAUUAUUUGAUAAAUCAGCUGAUUGUAUAAGUAACUAAGAGACAGCAGCAUAGGCCCUGAUGUCCCAAGAUGGCACUAUGAAAUAGCGCAGAAGUAGUGAAAUUAUUCUGGAAGUGUUGGAAAUUAUAGAAUCUCUUAAUAAUUUUAGUUAAUGGUUUUAAUUAACUUUUAAAUUAAUUAUUUAAAUUAAUUAUAACCAAUAUGAAUUUUAAUUGUAAAUAGUGUGUCAUUCUUAAAUUACUCUUAGCCAGCAUUUAGCAAAGUUGUCAUAAGCAGCUAAUGUGGGAAUACAGCUUGGGAAAAUUACUGAAACUUUAAGUUUUGCUAAGCUAACCUUGAUAGGCUUCAAUGAACAAGGCCUGGGAGAGAAUGAUGUAUUGUUGAAACUGGAUACAAGAAGCACAGAAUUUAUGGACUACAAGGACAUUUUUCAGAAACCAGAAGAUAGAGAAGAAGUUAACAAGGACUCAGCAUAUAUGUGUUGAAAAGUCCCUACCUGGGAAAAAGGUACUAAAAAGACUGAAAAAUGUAAGCUAAUUAGCAUGAGAAGUGAGAAAUCAAAAACCAAUAAAGGACAGAAUACUAAUUAAUGAAAGAAAAUGAUGUAAUUUAGAACCAAUGAACAUUAAUUUCUUUGUUUGCUAAAAAUGUAUGAAUAAGUGAAUGAGUUUUGUAUCUACAUUUGUGUAGAGGCCAGAGUUUUGUUGGCCACACACACACCUGCUGGCCAAGAAUAAAGUAAUGCCUUACUCACUAACACUAAAAAGACAGUGGUAGAGGGUUUUAUUUAUCCCGACAUCUUUGGAGGAUUUGGUAACUGAAACAUCAUUCAGCUUCAAGAGCUCUGCCUGUACUCUGACUUGCUGUAGCCUCUCAGCAUUCCCUCGUGUCUUCUGAAAACAAUGCUGAAGGUUCCCUGUAAGCUGAGUCUAAUACAGCAGUGGCAGAGAAACGUACUUAUUCUGCUUCAGGAACACAGAAAUGUAUUUCAUAUUUCUUCAGCGCACAGGAAUUGUACAAUGUGUAUUUUAUAGAAAAGCCCAAGAAGGAUCUGCAACUAGCAGUUAUCAAGUAACCUGUCUGCCACAGCAAAUGUCUCCAUUCACUAUUCAGUAAUAAAAGGCAUUUAAUUAAUUAAGUGUGAGAGUCCAUAUCCCUGGUCAACCUUUAAUUUCAUUGCUUUAGCAAAAUCACCUGGUUAAGACUGGACAUCUGUAUCUCUGAAGGAGCAGAAACUAAGAUAUGGCAGCAAAUUCUUCAGGUUGUCACCUUCUACACAAAGUUUACUAGGCCAAAAAAAAGCUAAAAUCCUUUUUCAUUAAGGCAUAAAAUUGGCUCAAAAGGCAACAAGGAA
ensembl:lncRNA